rnacentral:rRNA from 1 species
ACUAAUGGCCAUACCACCCCGAAUGCACCUGAUCUUGUCUGAUCUCGGAAGCUAAGCAGGGUUGGUCCUGGUUAGUACUUGGUACAGAGAAGGUGUGACUAAAUGGGUGGUAAAAGUG